UACGAAGGGGGCUAGCGUUGCUCGGAAUCACUGGGCGUAAAGCGCACGUAGGCGGCUUCUUAAGUCAGGGGUGAAAUCCCGGGGCUCAACCUCGGAACUGCCUUUGAUACUGAUGGUCUCGAGUCCGAUAGAGGUGAGUGGAAUUCCUAGUGUAGAGGUGAAAUUCGUAGAUAUUAGGAAGAACACCAGUGGCGAAGGCGGCUCACUGGAUCGGUACUGACGCUGAGGUGCGAAAAGCGUGGGGAGCAAACAGG
rnacentral:rRNA from 1 species